rnacentral:rRNA from 1 species
GGACUACUAGGGUAUCUAAUCCUGUUUGCUCCCCACGCUUUCGCACCUCAGCGUCAGUACCGGGCCAGUGAGCCGCCUUCGCCACUGGUGUUCUUCCGAAUAUCUACGAAUUUCACCUCUACACUCGGAGUUCCACUCACCUCUCCCGGACUCGAAGGUCGCCAGUAUCGAAGGCAGUUCUGGAGUUGAGCUCCAGGAUUUCACCCCCGACUUAGCGACCCGCCUACGUGCGCUUUACGCCCAGUAAUUCCGAGCAACGCUAGCCCCCUUCGUAUUACCGCGGCGGCUGGCAC